GCAAUCUCAUAAGCUCAGUCGGUUGGAGGGUGGGCCCAAUAAGCCCAAGGUCGCAGGUUCGACCACUGCUGACGGCA